rnacentral:rRNA from 1 species
UUGGCGGACGGGUGAGUAACGCGUGGGUAACCUGCCUUACACAGGGGGAUAACACUUAGAAAUAGGUGCUAAUACCGCAUGAGCGCACAGGACCGCAUGGUCGAGUGUGAAAAACUGAGGUGGUGUAAGAUGGACCCGCGUCUGAUUAGCUAGUUGGUGAGGUAACGGCCCACCAAGGCGACGAUCAGUAGCCGGCCUGAGAGGGUGAACGGCCACAUUGGGACUGAGACACGGCCCAAACUCCUACGGAAGGCAGCAG